UGCCAGCCGCCGCGGUAAGACGAAGGUGGCUAGCGUUGUUCGGAAUCACUGGGCAUAAAGCGUGCGUAGGCGGUCUUUUAAGUCAGAUGUGAAAGCCCCCGGCCCAACCGGGGAAUUGCGUCUGAUACUGAUAGACUUGAGGAUCAGAGGGGUGCGUGGAAUACCUAGUGGAGCGGUGAAAUGCGUUGAUAUUAGGUGGAACACCGGAGGCGAAGGCGACGCACUGGCUGAUCUCUGACGCUGAGGUACGAAAGCAUGGGGAGCAAACGGGAUUAGAUA
rnacentral:rRNA from 1 species